AACGAACGCUGGCGGCAUGCCUAACACAUGCAAGUCGAACGAAGCCUUCGGGCUUAGUGGUGCACGGGUGCGUAACGCGUGGGAAUCUGCCCUUGGGUUCGGAAUAACAGUUAGAAAUGACUGCUAAUACCGAAUGAUGUCUUCGGACCAAAGAUUUAUCGCCCAAGGAUGAGCCCGCGUCGGAUUAGCUAGUUGGUGAGGUAAAGGCUCACCAAGGCGACGAUCCGUAGCUGGUCUGAGAGGAUGACCAGGCACACUGGAACUGAAACACGGUCCAGACUCCUACGGGAGGCAGCAGUAGGGAAUAUUGCGCAAUGGACGAAAGUCUGACGCAGCCACGCCGCGUGAGUGAGGAAGGCC
rnacentral:rRNA from 1 species